GCUACACGUAUCACCGUCAAGAGUUCUAAUCACGCCAUCACGCCACAACACAUUAAGCGAACGUCGCCACUGUAUAAAAGGACGUACUGAUGCUUAGUUCCGGUAUAACGCAAUUUUUGUGCCAAUACAAUCAUCAUUUUCACUUUACUCCUCGAAAAACCAACCAACAACCAAAAAUGGGCGCUGAAAAAGUAACCAUGAACAUCGUCGUCGUCGGACAAGUCCAGUCUGCCAAGGCCAUCAAAUCGGUCGCCAAAGCCACCCCAUCCACCAGCCAAUUGAUGAGCUGUUAAUUCAAGUCCACAUCAAUCCCAACCUCAAAAAUGCCAUAGCCCAAUCAGUACAUAAUUUUAUAAUUGAUUUUUAAUCAUAAUAAUGUGUAUUGACAUUGCAAAAUAAAUCAGUCUCGUCCGUCAAU